AUUGAACGCUAGCGGGAUGCCUUACACAUGCAAGUCGAACGGAGUGGCGAACGGGUGAGUAAUGUAUCGGAACGUGCCUAGUAGCGGGGGAUAACUACCCGAAAGCGUAGCUAAUACCGCAUACUAUUGGAGCGGCCGAUAUAGGAUUAUCUAGGUGGUGGGGUAACGGCUCACCAAGGCGACGAUCCGUAGCUGGUUUGUGAGGACGACCAGCCACACUGGGACUGAGACAGGGCCCAGACUACUACGGGAGGCAGCAGUGGGGAAUUGUGGACAAUGGGGGGAACCCAGAGCCAGCGAUCCCGAGUGUGCGAUGAAGGCCUUCGGGUUGUAAAGCACUUUAGGAAGGAAAGCGGUACCUGCAGAAUAAGCACCGGCUAACUACGUGCCAGCAGCCGCGGUAAUUC
rnacentral:rRNA from 1 species